rnacentral:rRNA from 1 species
GACGAACGCUGGCGGCGUGCUUAACACAUGCAAGUCGAGCGGUAAGGCCCUUUUGGGGGUACACGAGCGGCGAACGGGUGAGUAACACGUGGGUGACCUGCCCUCAGCUCUGGGAUAAGCCUGGGAAACUGGGUCUAAUACUGGAUAUGACCUUUCCUCGCAUGGGGUUGGGUGGAAAGUUUUUCGGCUGGGGAUGGGCCCGCGGCCUAUCAGCUUGUUGGUGGGGUGAUGGCCUACCAAGGCGACGACGGGUAGCCGGCCUGAGAGGGCGACCGGCCACACUGGGACUGAGACACGGCCCAGACUCCUACGGGAGGCAGCAGUGGGGAAUAUUGCGCAAUGGGCGGAAGCCUGACGCAGCGACGCCGCGUGGGGGAUGACGGCCUCGGUUGUAACGU